rnacentral:rRNA from 1 species
UUGUUGGUAAGGUAAAAGCUUACCAAGGCUUCGAUCAGUAGCUGGUCUGAGAGGACGACCAGCCACACUGGGACUGAGACACGGUCCAGACUCCUACGGGAGGCAGCAGUGGGGAAUUUUGGACAAUGGGGGCAACCCUGAUCCAGCCAUGCCGCGUGAGUGAAGAAGGCCUUCGGGUUGUAAAGCUCUUUCAGCCGGAACGAAACGGUUACGGAUAAUACCCGUGACUACUGACGGUACCGGAAGAAGAAGCACCGGCUAACUACGUGCCAGCAGCCGCGGUAAUACGUAGGGUGCAAGCGUUAAUCGGAAUUACUGGGCGUAAAGCGUGCGCAGGUGGUUUUGUAAGUCGGAUGUGAAAGCCCCGGGCUCAACCUGGGAACUGCGUUUGAAACUACAAGACUAGAGUGUGGCAGAGGGGGGUGGAAUUCCGCGUGUAGCAGUGAAAUGCGUAGAGAUGUGGAGGAACACCGAUGGCGAAGGCAGCCCCCUGGGUUAACACUGACACUCAGGCACGAAAGCAUGGGGAGCAAACAGGAUUAGAUACCCUGGUAGUCCAUGCCCUAAACGAUGUCAACUAGUUGUCGGGCCUUUACGGGCUUGGUAACGUAGCUAACGCGUGAAGUUGACCGCCUGGGGAGUACGAUCGCAAGAUUAAAACUCAAAUGAAUUGACGGGGACCCGCACAAGCGGUGGAUUAUGUGGAUUAAUUCGAUGCAACGCGAAAAACCUUACCUACCCUUGACAUGUAUCGAAGCCCGCAGAAAAGCGGGGGUGCCCGAAAGGGAACGAUAACACAGGUGCUGCAUGGCUGUCGUCAGCUCGUGUCGUGAGAUGUUGGGUUAAGUCCCGCAACGAGCGCAACCCUUGUCAUUAAUUGCCAUCAUUUAGUUGGGCACUUUAAUGAGACUGCCGG